rnacentral:rRNA from 1 species
AGAGUUUGAUCAUGGCUCAGAUUGAACGCUGGCGGCAGGCUUAACACAUGCAAGUCGAGCGGGGUGAUGUAGCUUGCUACAUUACCUAGCGGCGGACGGGUGAGUAAUGCUUAGGAAUCUGCCUAUUAGUGGGGGACAACAUUCCGAAAGGAAUGCUAAUACCGCAUACGCCCUACGGGGGAAAGCAGGGGAUCUUCGGACCUUGCGCUAAUAGAUGAGCCUAAGUCAGAUUAGCUAGUUGGUGGGGUAAAGGCCUACCAAGGCGACGAUCUGUAGCGGGUCUGAGAGGAUGAUCCGCCACACUGGGACUGAGACACGGCCCAGACUCCUACGGGAGGCAGCAGUGGGGAAUAUUGGACAAUGGGCGAAAGCCUGAUCCAGCCAUGGCCGCGUGUGUGAAGAAGGCCUUUUGGUUGUAAAGCACUUUAAGCGAGGAGGAGGCUACCGAGAUUAAUACUCUUGGAUAGUGGACGUUACUCGCAGAAUAAGCACCGGCUAACUCUGUGCCAGCAGCCGCGGUAAUACAGAGGGUGCGAGCGUUAAUCGGAUUUACUGGGCGUAAAGCGUGCGUAGGCGGCUUUUUAAGUCGGAUGUGAAAUCCCUGAGCUUAACUUAGGAAUUGCAUUCGAUACUGGGAAGCUAGAGUAUGGGAGAGGAUGGUAGAAUUCCAGGUGUAGCGGUGAAAUGCGUAGAGAUCUGGAGGAAUACCGAUGGCGAAGGCAGCCAUCUGGCCUAAUACUGACGC